AUAAAUGAGCAGCCUCCCAACCCACCCAAUCAAUGAGGAGGCAGCCACCAUCCUCCCUCUUUAUAAGGAGCUUGGCCGGCCACACCUCCUCUCCUUUGCCUCAUUUCUUUUCACUCCCUACUAUUUCCUCCACUCCCUCACACUCUCCUCCUCCACUUCCCCCACGAAAAUGGUGCUCCCCUUGCUCCCAUGGCCGGCCAUGGCCAUGGCAAGCCACCAAGAUGAAGCUCUCCUUCUCCCUCAAGCUCCUCCUCACCAUGAGAGCCUCCCUCUCCUUCUUCUCCCCAACCCUAGAUGGUUUUCUCUCCUCUUCUUCUUCCUCCCUUGCUAAGAUUGGAUCUUGAUGCAGGUGCAUGUUGGUCCAAGCAUGGAGAAGCUUGAGCUAUCCUCAGAUCUGAAGUUCUUGAGCAUAAUCCAAAUCGAGUGAUUCAAAGUUCCGCAGAUAGAUAUUGAAAAGAUCUACAACUUGGCGUUGGUCUCAUCCUCAAAUUCGUUACGGAUUUUGCAUGAUCAAGAUCUGGUCAGAUCUGACUUUGUCGAAUUAAACCAGGAGCUUGGAAACUAAUUUUUGAAUGAAACCAACUGGGGGAUACUUAGUUGUGCCAUGGUGAUACCGAGAGAGGCAAUUGCUAAGUUAUGAUACUCUCCUACCUUUACUAGAUGCGAACGAUUCCGGAGAAGAAGAAGAAGUGGUUCGGACAAGGAUUUUAUUUAUAUUGACGGGAUUCUUAUAUUGAUGAAGUUGAAGAAGUCCAGGGACAAAUAAGCCAAG